GCAAGACCGUGAGGUAGAGCAAAACUCAAAAACUUGUCUCAGUUCGGAUUGUAGGCUGAAACUCGCCUACAUGAAGCUGGAGUUGCUAGUAAUCGCGAAUCAGCAUGUCGCGGUGAAUACGUUCCCGGGCCUUGUACACACCGCCCGUCACACCAUGAGAGUUGGCAAUACCCAACGUACGUGAUCUAACCCGCAAGGGAGGAAGCGUCCUAAGGUAGGGUCAGCGAUUGGGGUGAAGUCGUAACAAGGUAGC
rnacentral:rRNA from 1 species